rnacentral:tRNA from 1 species
GGGCUUGUAGCUCAGCUGGUUAGAGCACAGUCCUGAUAAGACUGGGGUCACAGGUUCGAGUCCUGUCAAGCCCA